GAAAAAUGGCAGUCUUCAGUCUUCUAACAUCUUUAUCUUCACCAAAAAGAAUCGAUGUGGAAAAUGUCUUCCCUUCCACACAGUUCACUGGAGACAUGUGAAAAGCUGCAACUGACAUUCCUGGCUUUACUCAAGUUUCUGAGGAAAGGGCUCAACAGAGAAAUAAUUCCUUCCAGGGACUUCAAGCUAUGACCUUGGGAACUGAAAUCUGGAGACAAAGGGAAUGGGUGUUUGCCUUCACCUCAUGAAAGGUGAAUGAGGUUCUGCGGUCACAAUGGCUUAUGUUUGUUCUAUCUUGUCUUGU
rnacentral:lncRNA from 1 species